ACCACUCUCAGCUUGUCUGGUACGCCCAUUGGGAGGACCUUCUUCUGCUGUCAUCCUCGUGAGAUGUCCGGCGUUUAAUCCAAUUAAACCGCAGCCUCCACCCCUUGUGUGCUCUCCCGCCAAUUCCCUUAAGUUUCAACCUUGCGGCCGUACUCCCCAGGUGGCCUGUUUAACACCUACGCUCCGACACUGCAAGCUCUCGUAAAGCUUGCAACAUCAAACAGGCAUCGUUUACAGCGUGGACUAUCGGGGUUUCUAGCAAAAAAUCCAAUCAUCUUUGGUAUCAUAGGAUUUAGCAGAUUUUGGUAUUUCUUAANUUCCCCG
rnacentral:rRNA from 1 species